rnacentral:rRNA from 1 species
AGUCCAGAAAAAAUUCACCCCUAAUAUCUUUCGACGUGAACCUUACCAACACACUUAGUUGGGGGCCUGUCCCGGCGGCUGACUGUCGAUGUCAAAGUUGACGGCUGCUGCUGUGUGUCGAGCCCUAUCAUGGACGAGCGUUUGGGUCCCUCUCGGGGGAACUGAACCAGUAGCCCUUAUCCUUUAAACCCAUUCUUGAAUACUGAACAUACUGGAGGGGACGAAAGUCUCUGCGUUUAACUAAAUAGCACCUUUCAGCAAAGCAUGUAUUCGUUCGUACAUCGAUGAAGAACACUGCCAACUGCGAUACUGAAUGCAAAUUGCACGACUCAAAGAGUCAUCGAAAUUCUGAACGAGUAUUGAACUUCCGGGUUAGUCACUGGGAGUAUGCCUGUAUCAGUGUCCCGAAAACAAACUUGGCUCUCUUCCUUCCGUGUAGUCGGUGGAUGGGGACACCCGACAUGAAGAGACUUGAGGUAGGUCUUCGGACUGUCUGCGAGUCCCUUGAAAUGUACUGAACUGGACUUCUCUUUGCUCGAAAAAGUGACAUUACUCGCUGAACAGGCUGCCUCGUGUGGACAAUCGGAGACCGGAUUGUCUGCUGCCGAUGUUAAAGGAUGAGAGUUCGAUUCUCGAUAUGGCUGGCUUCGGAUGAACAAAGACCUUAUUGCACGUUCUUUCUGCUGUGGUCAAACGGAUCGUUGAACCAUAGCGUGUGCUGGCUCUGUUCUCUGAACAGGGACGUUAGUCUCGAAAUAAGGUGGCCGCGAUUCACAUGAUGAGGCGUCCAUCCUUUUGAGGAACAUGCGGCUCUGCCGGACAGGUUCCCAGAUGAUGCGGGUUGAAACCGAAUUGGAACCUAAGAUUCUGUAAGGGUGAGCCAGU